rnacentral:rRNA from 1 species
GGGGGGGUGCUAUAAUGCAGUCGAACGAACUCUGGUAUUGAUUGGUGCUUGCAUCAUGAUUUACAUUUGAGUGAGUGGCGAACUGGUGAGUAACACGUGGGAAACCUGCCCAGAAGCGGGGGAUAACACCUGGAAACAGAUGCUAAUACCGCAUAACAACUUGGACCGCAUGGCCCGAGUUUAAAAAAUGUCUUCGGCUAUCAUUUUUGGAAGGGCCCCCCGGCGUAUUACUUAGUUGGUGAGGAACCGGUCCCCCAGGGCAAUGAUACGUACCCAACCGGAGAGGGUACCCCCCCCUUUGGGACUGAAACCCGCCCCAACCCCUCCGGGGGCAACGGGGGGGAACUUCCCCAAGGCACAAAUUUUUAGGANCCCCCCCCCUAAGAAAAAAGGUUUCGCCCCAAAACCUUUUUUUAAAAAAAACUA